AACGAACGCUGGCGGCAGGCUUAACACAUGCAAGUCGAACGCACCUUUCGGGGUGAGUGGCGGACGGGUGAGUAACGCGUGGGAAUCUACCCUUCUCUACGGGAUAGCUCCGGGAAACUGGAAUUAAUACCGUAUACGUCCUGAGGGAGAAAGAUUUAUCGGGGAAGGAUGAGCCCGCGUUGGAUUAGCUAGUUGGUGGGGUAAAGGCCUACCAAGGCGACGAUCCAUAGCUGGUCUAAGAGGAUGAUCAGCCACAUUGGGACUGAGACACGGCCCAAACUCCUACGGGAGGCAGCAGUGGGGAAUAUUGGACAAUGGGCGCAAGCCUGAUCCAGCCAUGCCGCGUGAGUGAUGAAGGCCCUAGGGUUGUAAAGCUCUUUCAGUGGGGACGAUAAUGACGGUACCCACAGAAGAAGCCCCGGCUAACUUCGUG
rnacentral:rRNA from 1 species